UUUUUAAAAAGAGAGUGACGGGCGAUAUGUACACAUCUCAGAGCCAAAUUCAGCUAACCUUUCUUAAAUUAACUUACUAACAAAUCCACCUUCAUAAAGGAAUUACACCUUAAAAUCCGUAUUAAUAACUUUAAUUGUAGCUCAUCUGCGACUUAACUAUAAACUGCACCUUGACCUGAAGUAAAAGACCUUUCUUUAUUGAAAACAUCCUAUAGGAGUAAUCUGACAACGGAGGUAUACAAGCUGAUUAACCAAAUUAAGUAAGAUUUAACGGGGAUUAUCGAUUACACGACAAGCUCCUCUGUGAGGUUAAGAUGCCGCCAAAAUCUUUGGGUUUGAAGAAUAUCUUUUACUACCCUGACAAGAAGUCAACUGGAAUAACAGGGUAUCUAAUCCUGGUUUUUCUCCCAGUUUUAUUAGAGCUUGAAAAAGCUUAGAGAGUUUUAAGUUAUAGUAAAAAUUCCACCUAUUAAAUAACUAUAAUAUCUCUCUUAAACAUUCAUCGAUCAACUAAACUUAAUCUUUAAUUCUAUUCGAGUCUGCC
rnacentral:rRNA from 1 species